CUGCUAGCUAACGUUAGCUGACAGGCUCAACAGAUCAAAGCUAGAGUCUUGCUGCACCUAGCUCGCAAUGCCAUCACGAUUUUCAUUCUCCCUCUCAUGCCUGGACAGCGACUUAGAGAAGUGGGACCUCAUUUAUCCAAAGCUCCUUGUCUGACAUUCUGCAACAACCAUGGAUGCUCAGCGCUUUCCAUUUAACCCUUCCAAUUUUCCAAGACUUGCACCUACAAAUACUAUUGCUCUGACGGAAUUUCAAACAGUAAAGUAAUUGCCAUUG